rnacentral:rRNA from 1 species
AUGAAGUGCGCUGAGCGCGACACCAUCAAUGCAACACCAUGCACAUGGCACACCUAUGCUGAUGGAGGCGGCGCCAGGAAUGGCAUAGGCACGUUGACGGUUGGGAUAGAAGGCAUCGGCGGCAGUGUCACCUUGGGCAUGGAAGGAAUGGCGGGCAUCGGUGGCACCGUCACCUUAGGUACAGUGACGGCGGGCAUCGGCGCCAUGGUCACCUUGGGCACGACGAUGGCGGGCAUCGGAGGCAUGGUCACCUUGGGCACAGAAGGAACAGCAGGCAUAGGAGGCAGUGUCACCUGCGGCACGGUCACUGUGGGCAGCGUCGGCAUAGCUGGCACUGUCACGACCGGAACCGUUGGCAUAGCCGACAUCGGUGGUAGGGUCGGCAUGGUCCUGAGACUAGCAAUUAUGGGGGAUGCGAUGAUAGAGAACACUAUGCAAGGACAUGGAAGAAAACGAAAACGUCAAAGGGGGGCAAUCCUAGCACUAGCCAGGCCGGUGGUAGAUGACAUUUCGAUGGUGAACGAGGAGACAUGUGUGGUCAUGGUGGCCGUAGAGAGCGGACAAGUGUUAUAA